AGGAGAGGGGCGGGGUUUUGCGGACUCCGGGGAAAUCACGGAAGACUCCAGAGGAGUUUGUGAGCACCGACUUGUGUCUAUAAGUAGGCCAAUGGGGGACUGCGAAAGCCGCACGUGGAGCCUGUAGGGACGGAAACGAUAGGACCUAAUCCAGCAAGUCAAGGCCUGAAUCUGGAAGAGAACCCAGAGGCUAGAAUCCUCCAAAUGUUAUUCGCGCAUGGUCCGGACUGAGAGUAACCUUGAGGUGAUUCUUGUUGGAAGAUGGAGGCUGUUUCAAAAUGGUGUUGCCAGUGUCAAGUUCUUCUUAACACUUGAAUGUUGUGGGAACUGGACCAGUCAAGAAGCAGCAAAUGAUACUCAAGAGAGUGGAAGAAUUCAAACUUAGUUUAUUUUUUUGGUACUGAAGAAUGAAUCCAGGGGCACUUAACUACUGAGCCACAUCCUCAGCCCUUUUUUGUAUUAUUUUAGAGAGACGGUCUCACUGAGUUCCUUAGUGCCUUGCUUUUGCUGAGGCUGGCUUUGAACUCUUGAUCCUCCUACCUUGGCCUCCCAAGCUGCUGGGAUUACAGGUGUGCACCACCACUCCCAGCUAUUAGUGCAGAAAGACCAGGAUGGAUGGAAACUUCACAAAUCAGCUCAGUUCUUUUAUUCAGAAAUGGAAUCAUGGUUCUGAUGGUGGUGAGUAUGGUUCUUAUGGACCCACUCUCUUUGUGGAAAAUGAGCCACUGAACAAAGAAAGGGACUGGGCAUAUGUAGGUUAUCCUGAGAAGUGAAUUAAAGAGUGUGUCAGCUUGGGCAGUCAGUUUUUGGGGGUCUGUUUUACUAGGCUAAAUGGGAAGGAGUGUGGCCUCAGUAGUCAGUCUCUGGGAUUUAUCUUGCUGGGCCAGAUGGAGGGCUUGGGGUCAGUAGUUGGUAUCUGGAAAGGGUUUGUUUAGGGAAGGAUUUAAUGCUUUAGCCCUUUCCCAGAGACUGCCUUUUUAGGUUUGAUGGACUCCUCCUUGAUAGACCCAACCUGAUCUUUUAUUAAAAUUGGGAGCCAUCUUGCCACAAAGCCAUGAAAAGAUAAUUUCGGCUUUACUAUAAAUUACUGCAAAUUCUGAACCUGCUUGGAAUGCCUGCCCGUGCC